rnacentral:rRNA from 1 species
UACAGAGGUCCCAAGCGUUGUUCGGAUUCACUGGGCGUAAAGGGUGCGUAGGUGGCGGGGUAAGUUUGAUGUGAAAUCUCCGGGCUUAACCCGGAAAUGGCAUUGAAUACUAUUCUGCUGGAGGGUUGGAAGGGAGACUGGAAUUCUCGGUGUAGCAGUGAAAUGCGUAGAUAUCGAGAGGAACACCAGUGGCGAAGGCGAGUCUCUGGACAACUCCUGACACUGAGGCACGAAAGCUAGGGGAGCAAACAGG